rnacentral:rRNA from 1 species
AGAGUUUGAUCCUGGCUCAGAACGAACGCUGGCGGCAUGCUUAACACAUGCAAGUCGAACGAGACCUUCGGGUCUAGUGGCGCACGGGUGCGUAACGCGUGGGAAUCUGCCCUUUGCUACGGAAUAACUCAGAGAAAUUUGUGCUAAUACCGUAUAAUGUCGAAAGACCAAAGAUUUAUCGGCAAAGGAUGAGCCCGCGUAGGAUUAGCUAGUUGGUGAGGUAAAGGCUCACCAAGGCGACGAUCCUUAGCUGGUCUAAGAGGACGAUCAGCCACACUGGUACUGAGACACGGUCCAGACUCCUACGGGAGGCAGCAGUGGGGAAUCUUGCGCAAUGGGCGAAAGCCUGACGCAGCAACGCCGCGUGUGUGAUGAAGGUCUUCGGAUCGUAAAGCACUGUCGGGAGGGACGAAUAAGGUGCCGGCUAACAUCCGGCGCCGAUGACGGUACCUCCAAAGGAAGCACCGGCUAACUCUGUGCCAGCAGCCGCGGUAAUACAGAGGGUGCAAGCGUUGUUCGGAAUUAUUGGGCGUAAAGCGCGUGUAGGCGGUUCAGCAAGUCGGAUGUGAAAGCCCUCGGCUUAACCGAGGAAGGGCGUUCGAAACUACUGAACUUGAGUGCCGGAGAGGGUGGCGGAAUUCCCGGUGUAGAGGUGAAAUUCGUAGAUAUCGGGAGGAACACCAGUGGCGAAGGCGGCUUUCUGGGCCACGACUGACGCUGAGGCGCGAAAGCUAGGGGAGCAAACAGGAUUAGAUACCCUGGUAGUCC